rnacentral:rRNA from 1 species
GAGUUUGAUCCUGGCUCAGAUUGAACGCUGGCGGAAUGCUUUACACAUGCAAGUCGAACGGCAGCACGGGAGCUCGCUCCUGGUGGCGAGUGGCGAACGGGUGAGUAAUGCGUCGGAACGUACCGAGUAAUGGGGGAUAACGCACCGAAAGGUGUGCUAAUACCGCAUACGCCCUGAGGGGGAAAGCAGGGGAUCGUAAGACCUUGCGUUAUUCGAGCGGCCGACGUCUGAUUAGCUAGUUGGUGGGGUAAAGGCCUACCAAGGCGACGAUCAGUAGCGGGUCUGAGAGGAUGAUCCGCCACACUGGAACUGAGACACGGUCCAGACUCCUACGGGAGGCAGCAGUGGGGAAUUUUGGACAAUGGGGGCAACCCUGAUCCAGCCAUUCCGCGUGAGUGAAGAAGGCCUUCGGGUUGUAAAGCUCUUUCAGCUGGAACGAAACGGUACGCUCUAACAUAGCGUGCUAAUGACGGUACCAGCAGAAGAAGCACCGGCUAACUACGUGCCAGCAGCCGCGGUAAUACGUAGGGUGCGAGCGUUAAUCGGAAUUACUGGGCGUAAAGCGUGCGCAGGCGGAUUGUUAAGCAAGACGUGAAAUCCCCGGGCUUAACCUGGGAAUGGCGUUUUGAACUGGCAGUCUAGAGUGUG